rnacentral:rRNA from 1 species
UACGGAGGGGGCUAGCGUUUUUCAGAUUUACUGGGCGUAAAGGGCGCGUAGGCGGACCAUCAAGUCAGGGGUGAAAGGCCUGGGCUCAACCCGGGAAUUGCCUUUGAAACUGAAGGUCUAGAGUCCGAGAGAGGUUAGCGGAAUUCCCAGUGUAGAGGUGAAAUUCGUAGAUAUUGGGAAGAACACCAGUGGCGAAGGCGGCUAUCUGGCUCGGUACUGACGCUGAGGCGCGAAAGCGUGGGGAGCAAACAGG